GUUCGAAGUGGUCAAGGAAACUUGAUGCUGGAUGCUAAGCAGAGGGUCGAGUGUUCGAAUCACUCCGGGGACGCCA
rnacentral:tRNA from 1 species